rnacentral:rRNA from 1 species
GUAGUCCACGCUGUAAACGGUGGGUACUAGGUGUGGGGUCCAUUCCACGGGUUCCGUGCCGUAGCUAACGCUUUAAAGUACCCCGCCUGGGGAGUACGGCCGCAAGGGCUAAAACUCAAAGGAAUUGACGGGGCCCCGCACAAGCGGGCGGAGCAUGCGGAUUAAUUCGAUGCAACGCGUAGAACCUUACCUGGGUUUGACAUGGAUCGGGAGUGCUCAGAGAUGGGUGUGCCUCUUUUGGGGUCGGUUCACAGGUGGUGCAUGGCUGUCGUCAGCUCGUGUCGUGAGAUGUUGGGUUAAGUCCCGCAACGAGCGCAACCCUUGUUCACUGUUGCCAGCACGUUAUGGUGGGGACUCAGUGGAGACCGCCGGGGUCAACUCGGGAGGAAGGUGGGGGAUGGACGUCAAGUCAUCAUGCCCCCUUAUCGUCCAGGGGCUUCGACGCAUGCUACAAUGG